rnacentral:rRNA from 1 species
UGGUAGUGUAUUGGACAACCAUGGCAGUCACGGGUAACGGAGAAUUAGGGUUCGAUUCCGGAGAGGGAGCCUGAGAAACGGCUACCACAUCUAAGGAAGGCAGCAGGCGCGUAAAUUACCCAAUCCCGAUUCGGGGAGGUAGUGACAAGAAAUAGCAACUCGUGCGGGUUUCCGUUACGGGAUUGCAAUGAGAUAAGUCCAAAUCCGUAAACGAUUAACAAUUGGAGGGCAAGUCUGGUGCCAGCAGCCGCGGUAAUUCCAGCUCCAAUAGCGUAUACUUAAGUUGUUGCAGUUAAAAAGCUCGUAGUUGAAAUUCGAGUCAGUUACUAGUUGGCUUUUCGUCAGUUAGUUAAUUGAUUCUCCGUCUACAAUCCCUUUUGCGCUUUAGGGUUGCAGCUGGGCGAGUAGACAAUUUACCUUGAAAAAAUUAGAGUGUUCCAGGCAGGUCUUCGCCGGAAUACAUUAGCAUGGAAUAAUGGAAUAGGACUUGGGUCUUUUGUUGGUUUUAGGACUUGAGUAAUGAUUAAUAGGGACAGAUGGGGGCAUUAGUAUUUAAUUGUCAGAGGUGAAAUUCUUGGAUUUAUUAAAGACUAACUUAUGCGAAAGCAUUUGCCAAGGAUGUUUUCAUUAAUCAAGAACGAAAGUUAGGGGGAUCAAAGACGAU